UACAGAGGUCUCAAGCGUUGUUCGGAUUCAUUGGGCGUCAAGGGUGCGUAGGCGGCGCGGUAAGUCGGGUGUGAAAUCUCGGGGCUUAACUCCGAAACUGCAUUCGAUACUGCCGUGCUUGAGGACUGGAGAGGAGACUGGAAUUUACGGUGUAGCGGUGAAAUGCGUAGAUAUCGAGAGGAACACCUGCGGCGAAGGCGGGUUGCUGGGCCGACACUGACGCUGAUGCGCGAAAGCCAGGGGAGCGAACGGG
rnacentral:rRNA from 1 species